rnacentral:ribozyme from 1 species
UGCCCAGCAACUCGUAUCCCUACCACCUCGUGGUACUGACCGAGGUACGAGUAACCUUAGGGAAGAUCUGGUAACCAACCCCGGUGGGAACUUUGGUCGUAUGCUGAUAGGGAAAG